rnacentral:sRNA from 1 species
GUCAUGGUUACAUCUUGACUUUGCUACACUCAGAUCUUUUUGUUAGAACAGCGAUAGAACGAGAGCCGACAACAUCUGCAGCUGUGUGGCGCAGCCCGAUGCCCGUCUGAUCUGACUUGUUAUGGAUGGCUCUCCUCUCCACUUACAAGCAGGGAAGUGACUAAAAAUAAAAUCUUUGAUUGUGUUUGACACCCUGAAGCAUUGUUAGCUCUUUAUAUAUCUUAGUCUUCCUUUGACAAUUUACCCUGAGUCCCAUUUCUAAAAGUUUAAUUCCUGACGAAUUCAAAUUUGUCUUUGGAGGCAAAGGCUGGGGGUGGGGUGAGGGAGAAUAUUGCCCUUUGAAACAAAACCAUAAAAAGGAGGUACUUUGUGCAUCUUGGUGUGCUUGUGGGCCAGUGAUAAGCUCGUAUACUGCUAACUUUUCUGUUUUGCUGCCUCUUUGCAGCACAUUAAAGCCAAGCAAUAUGGCUAGGCGAUCGACCCUGAACCUCUCCUACAAUUUCUGCACAUUCCUUGUCUAUGUUUUUAUUCCCUGGGCCAAAUUCUCCAUUCAUUCUGGAAAGCGUUUACAUGCUCCCGUUGAAUGAGAGGGAGUUUUCUAGGCUCUCAUCAGAGAAUGCAAUUUAGGGCUGUCGUUCAGUUCUUAUGGAAGCCUGCCUGAAACAAUUGAUAUUUUAGAAAUAGUCUGUAGAUGUUCAGUCUCUCUCCUAGGUGCUACACUGCAUCACCAGAAAACUGCUCAAAGAGAUGCUCAUUAGCUCAGCCUCUCCCAGCGAACACUCUUUGAUUAGCUAUGUUUCUGUGCUCGGUCUUUCACGUUUUGAAAGCAUUAAUCUUAGAAACAGAAAAAGAAAAUCUCUGGGGCUCCUUUAAGCACUGCUGAAAGGUACUGCCGAGUGUGCUGUUCUGUGUUCUGUGCACGGAUUCAUGUGAUAGAUUCCUUUUAAAGGUUAUUAGGAGGGAGGAAGUAGAAGGUUGGCUUUCUUAAAGAAAGUAUCCGAUGCCUCAUUAUUUCUCUGUAUUUAUUGGCUCCCAGGAAGUUUCAAAUACAAACAAAUGUAUCAUGAAAAGAGAGUCUGAGGAAUUUCAGGCAGGUUCCAGAAGGGAUGUAGGGGUUCCGGCUCCUUUGUCCUCUCAGGCACUCAUCUAUUGAUUCAGUAGAUUUGGGCAAGGCUAGGAAUAGGAUGAAUCCUGAAAGAGAGAGAUUCCUAGAUUGCUACGGGAGGAAGGAAGACUGCCAGCUUUGCCUGGAUAUAGCAGGUAAGGUCUCUAUGAUAAACCGUCAAGGGCGAGCACAGAGGGUGGAGCUGUAAGACACACAGGAAGACGGAAUGGAGCAGGUUUCAUAGACUGCAGGUUAAGAAGCUGGAGGGAGAGCAGCCCCCAACCUCAACGACCUUGCCUAGGAAUUUGUGGUUUUUUCCCUCUGGAAUCUGUAUGGAUUUGAAAAUGUAGCAAGCAAGAUGACAGCAUGAAAGUGUCCUGGAAACAUGACAGGUGACAAUUUGCAAGAAGGACAAGUAAGAAGGCAAGGGGUCAUACAGGAAGUGGCUGGACCAUGCCAAGCCUACAAUGAAGGACAGAAAGGGAAACAAAACUGGAGAGGAAUAGAAUCAGUCAACAAAAUUUGCUUAACUGUUGGUGUGAGGGGAGCCACACCAAGGAAGCCACUCAACUUUGUUGCAGAGAAGACUGAAUCAUGAUGAAUAAGAGACUGUGGAAAGACAGGCCCUGAGAUUGCAUGAGUUGAGAGACGACGCAUUACAUUUUGGUUGUGUGGUGCCAAAGUACCUGAGGGAUAGACAGUUUUAGAAGCAGUUAGAUAUAAAUGUCUGGACCUUAGAAGAGAAAUCCGAACCUGGGAAAUACCAUUUCUGGAGAAAAGUAGCAAGUAUGAGGACGGAUUAUUGAUGGAGGGAACAGAGGUGACAAACACCAAGAAUAGAUGAAAAUACGGAAGACCUCAAGGGAUCUUCAGGAAGUAUGCGAGGAAAGAGAAGGAUUCAUAUAACAGCAAUGGUGGUCCAUACCAUCCUCUACCUUGCUUUCCAGCUGAUGGAGUUCUUAGAAAGUGAUUGGCCCCGAGGACUCUGAGUGGUGCAUGGAGUCAUAAUUUAAUGUUACUGCUAGAAGGUUGUAGAAAAAAGAGGUGGGGACAGCUAGUUGGAGGAAGUUAGUCACUGACUGGCAUGCCUUUGAAGAACAUCUCUUUCUCUGGGUCCCAUCUUCACGCUCUCAUUACCUCCCAUGAUGUAAGAACCUUUCUCAUCGUGCUUUAUCUGCCGAGAUGUUCUUCCUCACCUUAGGCUCAAAGCAAUGAAGCCUGCCUACUGCAGUCUGCAGCCAAGUGAGCCAAGACAAAUCUCUCCCCAAUUAGGUUGAAUUUAUCAGAUUUUGAUGCAGCAACAAUAAAACAACACCAAACUAAAAUCUUGAUAGCACAAAUGCUGAGUCUCCUACUCCAUACAUUCUUUCUGUCUGUUUUCCUAUGUAGUGGAAACCUCCUGACUGCACAAGCAGACCCCUAGGGGUUACUACCAAGCCCUCACAAGACUUCUAAAGGCUUUAGACUCCUUGUUGAUUAGUCAUUACCCUACCCCUGCCAUGUGCUUGCUUUAGUUAGGUACUGUCAAUUUUACACAGGUGCUGUUGGUAAUUCCCAGUUGGUUCUCUACCCUAGUCUUGCUGUUGAUGCAAAUUUUCUCACAUACUUUCUAUGCUAAAAACCACCCAGAAGAUCCUUUGUGUGUGUGUGUGUGUGUGUGUGUGUGUGUGUGUGUGUGUAUGCGUGUGUGUUUAUGUAGGUGCAGGAUAUGUGUAUGUGCUUAUGAGUGUGUAGAAGUUAAAGGUUGAUGUCAAUGGUCUUCUUCAAUUACUUUUCAGGUUUUGAGAGAAGGUCUCCCUUUGAGCCUGGAGCUCACUGUUUGGUUAGACAAUCUGACCAACAAGCCUCAGGGAUCCCCAUCUCUUCCUCUCCAGCACUGGGAUUACAGAUGCAUAUUACCAUAACUAUUCUUUUUUAUUAUUAUUAAUUUAUUUAUUAUUUUACAUCCCAAUAUCAGCCCCAUCUCUCCUCUUAGUAUCCCCUCAUACAGAUCCCUAUUCUUUCCUCCCAUUCUCCUUCGAGAUAUCACUCCCCUCCCCUACACAUUAAGUCACUGUAGGACUAGAGGAGAUCCUCUCCUACCGAGACCAGACAAAUCAGCUCAGUUAGGAGAACAGGAUCCACAGGCAGACAGACUGAUUCAGGGACAUCCCCUGCUCCAGUUGUUGGGGAACCCUUGUGAAAACCAAGCUGCACUUCUGUUACACAUGUGUGUAGGGGUGGGAUGGGGAAUUGGGAGGGGAGAGAACAGCAGGAGGAGUGGGGUCACGGAUGAGCUCCAGCCCAAGCUUGCUCUUUGAUUGGUGGUUUAGUCCCUGGUAGGCCCCAAGGGGUCCAGGUUAGUUGACUCUGUUAAUCUUCCUAUGGAGUCCCUGUCCUCUUCUCCCAACUUUUCCACAAGAUUCCUUGAACUCCAUUCAGUGCUUGACUGUGAGUCUCUGCCUGUGUUUCCUUUGGCUGCUGGGUAGAACCUUUCAGAGGACAGUUAUGCUUUUUUUUUUUUUUACAUUGGUGCAAGAGGUUGAACAUGGGUCCUCAUGCAUUUAUGACAAAUAUUUUACAUACUGAAUUAUUUUCCCAACCUAGUUCCUACCUGCUAAAAUUCUUUUAAAAUCGUGUGUGUGUGUGUGUGUGUGUGUGUGUGUGUGUGUGUGUGUGUGUGUGUUAGAGUGUGGUCUGGCUUUAUGUGGAUUCUGAGGAUAUGAACUCAGUCCCUUAGCCACACUUUAUCCACAAACACUUUAUCCACAGAGCCAUCUCUCCAUUCCAAUUACUACAGCUUUGGCUUUGAAGUUUGUCAUUUCAAACUUAAGUAGGCAUAUCAAUAUCAUACUUUUCGCAAACUAUAAAGAAAGAUCAUUCUACCCCUCAGCUUAAUUACAUCACUUGGUUCUAUUCCUCCAGCAUAGACUCCAGCAUUGACCUUGGACUAGGGAUGGCAGGAGAUGUCCCACUGACUCAAACUCAGAAGGAAAACCAGCACACGUCAUGACAUUAUGAUAAGAUAAAAAGCAUCUCAGAGGAAGAAGGGUUUGGUUGAGCUCAUCGUUUGAGUUACAGUCCAUCACAGCAGAGAAGUCAGGCAGCAUGAAGCCGCUGCUCACAGAGGAAGGAUGCAUGCAUGCUGUUGCUCAGCUUGUUUUCUCUAUUUGUGCAAUCUAGGCUCCCCUUUAAAGAUGGAGAUUACAGUUGGAUUUGCUAUGCAUCUCAUUGAGACGGUGCAGCAUGAAAAGUCUUACCAAAGUACUUUAAUUCACCGUCUACCUCAAAGCUCGUGCCGAACUGAAUGUUGAAUCCAAAGUUAAAAUGAACCCAGGGGCUGGAAUGUAUGUCAGAGUGCUGGCCUAGCCUGCAGGGAGCCCUGGAAUGGAUUUACAACACCACACAAGAUUAGACUUAAUGAUGUAUGACUAUAAUCAGAGCUUUAAGGAGGUGGAGGAAGAGAAGCAAAAGUUCAAAAUCUACCUUGGAUUCAUAUCUAGUUUGAGGCCAGCUUGGGCUACAUUAGACCUGAUCUGAAAGAACAAGCAAGCAAAAAACAGAUAAAUAUGUGUAGGACUGAGAGUCCUACUCAUAAAUUAAUAUCAAUGGGUUUUCUCUAUGUCUUCUACAAUGCCAGAAAGCUCGCUCACUACGCACAAGGCCCUAGCAUUACAAAUAACUAAGUACAUAAAUUUAAAAAUGCAGUAGUAAGACAAAGUAACAGAGAUCGUUAGCCACUUAUUAUGAGGUAGGCAUUUCUAUAUGCCUUGAUUAAUUCUCCCAAUAAUUCUUAUUAUUAACACUAAUUUUCAGUCACGAAACUGAGGCUUGGAAGCAUUCAAUAGCUCGUCUCAGUUCAGACUGGAAAGAAAUGGCAGUUAGGCCUUCGAGUCAUGUCUACUGCCUGUUGGCUUCGCUCUUGUCAUCCUGCUUCGUCAGUCCUCAGCGUGGUGCCCCAACAUCCAGAAUGCCACCCUGUCAGGGACUGAAUAGAGAUGGUUCUCUUAAGCAAGCAAACAACCUCCUUGAGAAAAGCCCCAAGGCUUUAUUCUCCUGAUUGUCAGACCUACUCUCUGUCUGAACAUUUUAAAGGAACCAUGUCUGACUUCCACCACUCCUCUGCUGACAAGAAUUCUCCAGAGGGACUUGUGGCAAAAAGAGGUUCAAGAAAGUGCCCGGGUCAGCCAGGUGUGAUUGAACAGUGUUCUAGUAUCGAAUACCUGAUAAAACCUGAGGCCCCCGGGCACUUGAUUUUUAAAGUAAUCCUGUCAGUUUCCUAAU